UCCAUAUGGCAAAUUUAUCAGUUUUCAUUUCUCUCUGUAAUAUAUAUGGAAGAUUUUGAGGUUCAUUUCCUCAUCCAAAAAAAAAAAUUUGAGGUUCAUUUAUUUUUAUUAACACUUUUUGAACUCUAACUUUCGGAAUCAUAACAUGUUAUAUCAGUAUAUGUGUGGACCUACAUCGAGAAACACUCAUUAUUCAGAUUUAAUGAUGAGUUCCUCUAAACCUUCUUAUGAUUUCCAUAAUUAUGGGACAAAUUAGCCUUCAAUUUAUAUUCAGGGGAAGCACACUCAUUGAAGGUUGAAAAUAUAUUAUUUCAGGUGAAGUCAGAUUACCAAAAUGUCAUGGUUUUUCAGGUAAUUCCAUGAUGCAUUAGUGUUUGAGUUUGCUCCUCACUAUAUUUGAUGGAAUGGGUGCUCUUUAAUUUGAUGCUUAUUACAUAAGUUUUUUCUACUGCAGCCAUCAACUUAUGGAAAUGUGCUUAUUUGAAUGGUGUGAUACAACUCUCAGAGGGGGAUGAAUGUGCUUACCAAGAAAUGAUCACUCAUCUCCCACUUUGCACAAUUCCAAACCCCAAAAAGGUCCAUUACCUAUUACUGAGUAGUGAAAUUUAACAUCGAAGUAUAAAAUGUAAAAUCUUGGAGGUUACGUAUUUUUGAUGUUUAUGAAAUGUCAAUAGUGAAUUCUUUUGGUACUUCGCUAGCUUCCGUUGACAACGAAAUAAACCCAAAAUAAAGAAGAUAUAUCCACAUCUGCUUCUUACAUUGUGAAUAAGCACUAUAAUGGUUGUGAUCAAUUCUCACUUGUCAUAUAUUACAAAGAACAGAUAUAAGUAAUCAAUACCUCUCUCAAACCCAAACUUUUUUUCGCUCAAACUUACUAUAGUCUAUAGGUGAUAAUUCUUGCAUCCUAUUUUUUGUGGCUUUGCCUAGUAAUUCAUUUUAUAGUAAGUUUAUACGCAUGCUCUACGUGCUAUCAUCUUGUUUUUUGGGUGGGCUAAGUUAAAAGGGAAUGGAGAAAUUGUAAGUGGGAAUACUGCCAGCCUUUAUUAAGAAAUCAUGCAUACUGAAUGCAUCCUUAUUUUUACUAAGAGAUGCUUUAUGGAAUUAGAGAUUAGUGCCUUCUACUUGUGUGCCACACUUUAAGUUUGAUUUUUCUUGCUGGUUAUUGGAGUAGGUGAUGGUGGUGUCUUACGUGAGGUGUCUCGGUAUUCUUCCGUUGAACAGAUAGACAUAUGUGAGAUUGACAAGAUGAUAAUUGAUGUAUGUCAGCUGACAUUCUUUUAAUUAAAGUUGUACGUUGGUUAUUUUUUCUUCUUUUCUCUUAUCUGUAUCAAAGGUCAAGAAAAAUUGUUGAAUUAGUUAAGUCUAAAGAUUGUACACGUGUUUUCUAGUACCCUGUGGAAUAUUCUGUCUUGAUGUGGUAGAUACUGCAAAUUAUCCUUUUCUGUGAUCCCUGUAGCUCAUCACUCAUCAGUUUUCUUGGAAAUUUUGGUUUGGUGGAGUAUUGCUUUAUAACAUAAAGCAAUGAUCUCAUAAUUCCUUUUGCUUUAUCUAGGUCUCUAAAUAAUUUUUCCCCAAUGUAGCUAUUGGAUUUGAGGAUCCCCGCGUUAAACUCAAUGUUAGUGAUGGUAUGAUCUGAGAAGAUGACAGAACUGAUUUCUUUUUGGUAGUUUUUGUGCAUUUAUCAAUUAACUGUUCAUGGGAUUUCCCUUUUCCUCUCCCAUUUCUACAGGAGUUGCAUUUUUGAAAAAUGUUCCGGAGGGAACUUAUGAUGUAGUUAUAGUAGAUUCCUCUGACCCCAUAGGUGAUCUAUUUACAUUCCUACUGCCUCUGAUGUAGAAAUUUCAUGUAUUAAAUUUUUCUUUGUUUAACUCCUGGUCCAGCCCAAGAGUUGUUCGAAAAUCCUUUCUUUGAAUCAGUAGCAAGGGCUCUACGUUCGGGAGGGGUUGCUCGUACAAAAGCGGAGAGCAUAUGGCUUCACAUAAUUGAAGAUAUCGUGGAAAAUUGCCACCAGAUCUUCAAAGGCUCAGUUAAUUAUGCCCGGACCACAGUUCCUACUUAUCCAAGGUGCACUUUCAAGAUAUUUGCUGAUAUGCAUGCAUUAUUUUGUUAAUCUGGUUUGUCAUUCAUGCCUUUUCAUUUUUCUCGCUAGUGUUUUGCAUGGUGGUGGUAACUGAGAAUACCUACUGUGAUGUAUUAGAUACUCUAUGCAAUACUGAUCCCAAUUUGGGUCAUUUGCCUAUCCUUUAUUUCACCGGUGUUAUUCGUUUCAUGCUCUGUUCUACUGAGUGACCUGUAGUUUGAUUUUAAGAAUCUAAUUAACCCAAUUGAUGCUGAUGAUAGCCAUACCAAAAUUGGAGGACCCUUGAAAUUUUACAACUCUGAGGUAUAAUGCCAUUCUGUUCUCGUUUUCUCUUUUCUAAUGCAAAUCUUAGGUACAAAGGCUCACUUCUCUAGUACUUACCGUUCUUUUGAUUUGUUCAUCUUCUUAUUUUUUAAUUUUAUUUUUGUCCCUAGAUUCACUCUGCAUCAUUCUGCUUGCCAUCUUUUGCAAAGAGGGUGAUUGAAACCAAAGGAAAAUGAGUCCUUAGCGGAGUAGGAUUUAACUAUUUUAAAACACCUCAGUCCCACCCUAUACAAGAUUGGAUCAUCCAGCAUUAGAUAUUUUAUGUUUAAUUUGAUGCUGUGACUAGGCAGUUGGAUCCGGAGAUGUAUGGUUCACAGUGGCUUAUAAAUGCUAUGUUGCCUUUGUUCUAGUUUGUUGUAAAUCAUCUUUCGCUCAAUCUUGAGCUCAGUGAUUGAAGCUUUUCUACGUAGUAAUUUCACCUCCUCUUUCUCUCCACUCAUGAUACCACUAUAAUAUGAAAAUAUAUGAGUCCUUUUGGUCAAAAAUUUCAAGAUCUAUUACUAUUGGAAAAUGAUUUUGUCAAAAUUGAUUUUCUGACAUGUGUUUAGUGCUGUAACAGUUUGUUUUUAACCAAGUUUCAAAAUAAUUAUUUUCGGACAUUCAAUAAGUUCUCAAACCAAGCUAAGCAUAGCUUUUUACCAAAACCUCCUCCAUCGUAGUGGAGGAUUAAAAUUCUGUUCUUGUCUUAGCUCUUCCAUUAAUAAGUUGUUUUGAGAUUCCGUCAAGUGAAUAAUAGCUGCUUGGACCAAACAUUGUUUAAGGAAUAUUCGAGAAUCACAAAAUAUUUAUUGUUUAGUCGCCUCGGCUGUCAGGCUCUGAAGUUUGAAACAUCAAAUAUACAAAUCUAAACUUGAAGAUUGUCAACUUUAGAUAUUUAGAUUUGAGGCUUGGCAGUGCCCACUUCAAACUUGCGUGUCUAGAGUUUGAAAACUUCUAGCCCAAAAAGUUUGAAGUGGGGGACUGCAUUGUAUAACUUCACAUCCUCUCACAUUCUUAUUUUGGCGCCUUAUGUAUCCAUAAAUUAAAGGAAAAAUUACAUGGUAUAACAAACGUAGCCAUGUAAUUAUGAUCCAUAGCUAUAGUAAAAAAUUUACCUAACAUAACUAUAUUUAGGGUUUUAUAGCCUCUCCCCCCCCCCCCCCCCCCGCCACUCUCAAUCUCUUCUAAUUUUUCUUGUUGUCUCUUUCCCUCUCCCUAUUUCUCUUAUUGCCUCUCUCUUCUCUCCCUCUUUCUCUAAUUGUCGAUCAUAGAUGGCAGGUUUCUGCUCCAUCAUAUGAUAGACUCAAGAUAAAUAUAAAUGAUAUGUUUAAUAUAUUUGAGAAAGAAAGAAGGAGGUAAAUAUAUAAAAUACAAAGAGGAAAAAAAGAUAGAGAGAUAAAAAUACAAGAUACAAAGAUGGAGAGAGAUGGGACAAGAAUUAAGGGUGAUGAUAAAUUUUCACAUUUAGGUAUAGGUGACUCAAGUCUUAAUUAUUGAGUGUGAGUGAAAAUUAUUAAAUGAUGGAUUAAGAAAGUUUGACCCAUGUGUGAGAAUUGCACUCAAUGGAGGGAAAAAAAUGCGGCUGUUGCUCUUGUUUUCUCUCUUCGCUUGGUGCAUUGCUCUAUUGUAGUUGUUCAUUGUUGUUGCUGUUUUUUUUCAUUCUUCUACUUCUUCUUCAUUAUCAUCUCUUCUUGUUCAUAUUCUUCUUUUUCAUUUGUCAUAUCAUUGUUGUUGUUGUUGCUGGUCUUUUUAGAUCAAAUUUUGUUCGUAUAUCACGGGCUAUUACUUCAUAGGUGAUUUUGGUAAGUAAAAUUAUGAUUUUUAGUUCAGCUUCUCAUCUGGGUAUAUCCGUUACUACUGUUUUUUCAACAAUACUGCUUAUCCAACAACCGUUGUAUUUAUUUUGUAACAGCUGCCAGAUAGUUUCCAUUACUAUUUAAGUAUUUCCAAUAAGUACAAUUAAUGGAGGAAUCAAUAACAAUAGGGGUUGAUUGUCAGGGUGAAUGGAUUGAGAAAAACAAUCCAUUUAUUUGGUGUUGGAAGGAUGGUAAAAUAUUAGAGACGAUAGCAAUGAUAGUCCAAACAGAUAUUUUAGAUGAUGAUUUUAUGAAUUAAAUCAUCAGCUAUUGUAGACUAAAUUGUCAAUCGAAGAUCUUAACAUUUGUUAUA